GACAGAGGUGCCAAGCGUUAGGCGGAAUCACUGGGCUUAAAGCGUGUGUAGGCGGAAUUGUAAGUACCUUGUGAAAUCCCACGGCUCAACCGUGGAACUGCUCGGUAUACUGCUUUUCUUGAGCCACUUAGGGGCUGUCGGAACAAACGGUGGAGCGGUGAAAUGCGUAGAUAUCGUAAGGAAGACCAGUGGCGAAGGCGAAUCUCUGGACAGUUACUGACACUGAGGCACGAAGGCCAGGGGAGCAAACGGG
rnacentral:rRNA from 1 species